ACAUGCUGGGCUCAGACUCCCCUACAGAAGAAUGGCAGCAGCAGGCCCAAGCCCUCUGCGGCCUCUCCUAACCCGGGGGAGCCCUUGGAAGAGAAAGCUGCACGCUCACCCUAUCUACCUGCUUCAUAGUCGAGUUGUGUUGGUGACAGCACAUCCUCCCAAGUGGGGGUGGGGAAGGAACAGAAACAAGGACAGAUUUUCUCUUCUUUCUCAAAUUUCUAAUUUUUCUAAAAAAGAAAAAAAAAACCCUCAAAUUUCUAAAAUUUGCAGAGACAUUUACUUCACAUUGCUUCUUACUUCCCAGCCCUCUGGAUAUGAAGCAUCUUUGAGGAAUUCAUGCCAGGAAAUAGCCAUGACAAGGAUCUUGGAUGCAGGAAUUCUGAACUAAAUGUCUAACUGGGAAGGAGAGUUAGGAAACUUUAAUGCUAUAAUCUGUACAAUAUCAUUGCACUCUUGUAAGGUAGAAAAAGAAAUUCAGAACCAUAACUGGAAGCUUUAUUCUUGACUUUUUAAUAGUAAAGCUAUAUUAUCCCUUAUCUGCUCAGCCUCAUAACUUGCUGUGGACAAAUGUGCACAUUUUCUUUAAAAAAAAAAAAAUCAGCCAUUUAGCAGGAAAAAAUGGGUUAAGACCCAGCUGGGAGAUACACCGGGGCCCUUACGUAGUCGUGUUUUUACAUACAUGCAGGGAAAUAGCAGCCACUGAGAGCACACUCUCCUGGGCUGUUUGUGAAUUCUGUCACACAUCUGAGUGAAAGCCAUUGAGUUACCUAAUCAGCUGUAAUGACUGCUAAGAUGGCGCCUCGCUUCUUUAUUAAUACAGAUAGAGCAUCAUGUUAGCAUUAGCAUGGAGGUGAUACUGGCUUCUAGAAAAAUACUGAGGAAAAGCAAUCAAGGUUGGUUGUUUUAAAUGAUCAGUCCCCAGAUUAACAUGAAACUGGGAAACUGGCUUAAAGAUGGCUUCCCCUGGUGAUGCAGGAGAGCUACCAGCUUUUCUAGAAAACCACAAAGGGCCAGGCAGCCCUAACUGGCUGAUUCACUUCAAAGAAGUGCUGCUGAUACCUGAUACCUGAUACCAGUCUCCAGAGGUGGGAGAGGUGAGGACUUAGAGGCUGAGGGCUGCCUUCCGGAGGAGCUUCCAUACAGGACUGAGGUUGAACAUGGGCUCUUCCUUGGUCUUGCCAUUAGCAAUCACCAACUCACACACUGUAUUCUCUGAGUGCUCAGUGAAAUCUUCUGCGUUAGUAAACUGUGAAAGGUUUGUUUGUUUUUGUGUUUGGUUCCCUCUACCCUGCAGGGUUUUCUUUCUUUGUUGUUUUUUUUUUUUUUUUUUUUUUUUUUUUGUGUGUGUGUGUGUGUGUGUGUGUGUGUAUGUGUGUUCCUGGAAGCCACCCAGUCUAUAUACUGCCAGCCUGAGCUUCCCAGUCCUAGUUGUGUGGCUUUAAUUAGAAAAUCAUAUUUGUGCUCCUUCACCCUCAUAAGAAGUAUUUACCUUCAAUCCUAAUUUUCUGACACCUGAGUCCAAGAUGGGGAGAGAGAAGGGGUCAGCCUCUUGCCUUGGAGGCUGCUGUCCCCAUUUGCCCACCUACAGCUGCUUAGCUAACAGAAAGUGGAGAGAUAGCACGCGAGCGGCCUUCUCUUCCCUGUACAGUCUCCUGCAUCUGUUGCCCUGACUGCUUUCCUUUCUGUGGUCAGCAAGUUUACUUGGGAAAGCCAGGCAGUUAGCAAGAGGGAACAGUCUGAACCCACGGGCAGCUCUCAGCUCACAAGUGCCCACCACUUCAGUGCUGCUGGAGAAUGGCUGAACAAGGGCUGCAGAUGGUACACCUUGUGUGUGCCCCUAAGCCAGAGCUCCAAGGCUUCACCCUCAUCUUCUUUAUAAACACCGUUGUGUCUACAUGGUGGCUGGUCAGGUGGAACAUACACAUCUCUUUAUCCCUUGAAGAACUUACUUUCAUAAUCUGUACCGUUGGGAUGUGAUAAAACAGUGUUUUCUCUUUGUGAACAUUGUCCUGAACCAUAAAUACUGACGCUAGACACAGGGUGAGGGGUGUGCCAGCUCCUCCCAGAAUCUCUGGUUGAACUCUGUGGUUACAAGGACCUCUCCUUGGUCUCAAGUAGAGUUGACUGAAGCUGUUGGAGAAAACGCUGCGUGUCACCGCAGCUCUGCAGUGCAGGCGACUGCAGGCAGGUUGAACAGUAAGAGCUAAGCGAAGCCCCACUUCACCCGUGGCACGAAGAUGAAAAGCAAUCAUUUCUGUGUGUCUUUAGGAAAAACAACUAAGGCCAUAUAAGCACACUUGUUUUUCUUUGCAGUUCCGUUCACAGUUUAAAUUCCCAUAACCUGGAAUUUCACACUGACCCUUUAAUAAGACUCGGUAACAGAAUGGUGGGUCUCUUUUGCAUACGUGUUACAUAAAAUUCAAAGUAAUAAACCUCAGCUACCUUUUUAAAAACUUAACAAUUUGAAGAGUAUUUUAAAACCUGAGAAAAAGAAUUUGGGUGGCUAUGGAGAAGAGGUAAAUGCCUCCACAGGGCUUGCUUAGGAAGGUCUUGCUCUUAGUACUGGGGUUGAAGUGUUUCGUUCAAAAUAAAUGAAGUAUUUAUUCAAAAUUCUCCUUUAGGAUUCACACGGCAAGAGCUCCCAAUGCUUCCACCUAUUAGUUAACAUUAGAUGAAGCAGCCAGUCACUUUCCAAAAGGCGGCAGAGUGAGGUCUUUACUGUAUUGUGGAAGGGAUCUUAGAAUACUAAAUAUUUUACAGUGAUCGUUUCCAUCUGAGCAAACGCCCAUUUUUCUACUGGCCUAUCUCACACUGCUGCGCCUCGCUCACAGUGUUAUUAGGACUGAGCCUUUAAAACUUCCAUCUUUAACAAAAGUAUUCAAAACAAAUUCCCUGAGCAUGUUGGUUGGUACAUGCCUGCUGCGGGUUAACAUGAGACUAAGUUGAUACAUUUGCUGCAAGAGUUUUUUCCCUUUGUCUUUAAAAAAUAAAGACGUUAUGAGCAUAUUUGUUUCCCUUAACCUUUUAAUAUUAGACACAAAGCAAUAAAAGCUAAUAAAAAAGAGCCAACCCAAGAUAA